GACGAACGCUGGCGGCGUGCCUAAUACAUGCAAGUCGAGCGGAUGACAGAGGAGCUUGCUCCUCUAGAUUCAGCGGCGGACGGGUGAGUAACACGUGGGCAACCUGCCCUGUAGAUUGGGAUAACUCCGGGAAACCGGGGCUAAUACCGAAUAAUCCUUCGGACCUCAUGGUCCGAUGUUGAAAGGCGGCAUCUCGCUGUCACUACAGGAUGGGCCCGCGGCGCUUUAGCUAGUUGGUGAGGUAACGGCUCACCAAGGCCACGAUGCGUAGCCGACCUGAGAGGGUGAUCGGCCACACUGGGACUGAGACACGGCCCAGACUCCUACGGGAGGCAGCAGUAGGGAAUCUUCCACAAUGGACGAAAGUCUGAUGGAGCAACGCCGCGUGAGUGAAGAAGGUUCUCGGAUCGUAAAACUCUGUUGUGAGGGAAGAGCAAGUACCGGAGUAACUGCCGGUGCCUUGACGGUACCUCAUUAGAAAGCCACGGCUAACUACGUGCCAGCAGCCGCAGUAACAC
rnacentral:rRNA from 1 species